CCGCUAUUGGAGUUCGAUUAAGCCAUGCGAGUCGAGAGUCCUCGGGACUCGGCGUACCGCUCAGUAACACGUGGGUAACCUGCCCUAUGCUGGGGAAUAACCUCGGGAAACUGAGAAUAAUGCCCCAUAGCCCACUACGCCUGGAACGGUGAGUGGGUCAAAGCUCCGGCGGCAUAGGAUGGGCCUGCGCCGUAUCAGGUUGUAGGGGGUGUAAAGUACCCUCUAGCCAUCAACGCGUACGGGUGUUGGGAGACAUUGCCCGGAGAUGGAUUCUGAGACACGAAUCCAGACCCUACGGGGUGCAGCAGGCGCGAAAACUUGGCAAUGCGAGCAAUCGUGACCAGGGAACUCCAAGUGCGUAGGGUAAGACCUACGCUCUUCUUGACUCUUCAAAGGUCUUGGAAUAAGGGGUGGGUAAGGACGGUGCCAGCCGCCGCGGUAAUACCGGCGCCUCAAGUGGUAGUCGCUUUUAUUGGGCCUAAAACGUCCGUAGCCGGUCUGGUGCAUUCGUGGGUAAAUCAACCCGCUCAACGGGUUGAAUUCUGCGAGCACGGCCAGACUUGGGACCGGGAGAGGUGUGGGGUACUCCCAGGGUAGGGGUAAAAUCCUGUCAUCCUGAGAGGACCACCUGUUGCGAAGGCGCCACACUAGAACGGAUCCGACGGUCAGGGACGAAACCUAGGGGCACGAACCGGAUUAGAUACCCGGGUAGUCCUAGGUGUAAACGCUGUGGACUUGAUGUUGGGGGCGCUCCGAGCGCUCUCAGUGUCGAAGCGAAGGUGAUAAGUCCACUGCCUGGGGAGUACGGUCGCAAGGCUGAAACUUAAAGGAAUUGGCGGGGGAGCACUGCAACCUGAGGAUUGUGCGG
rnacentral:rRNA from 1 species